rnacentral:rRNA from 1 species
UACGUAGGAUGCUAGCGUUGUCCGGAUUUACUGGGCGUAAAGCGCGCGCAGGCGGCACUGUAAGUAAGGUGUGAAAUAUCCCUGCUCAACGGGGAGGGUGCACUUUAGACUGCAGAGCUAGAGGACGGUAGAGGGGGGUGGAAUUGCUGGUGUAGCGGUGAAAUGCGUAGAGAUCAGCAGGAACACCCGCGGCGAAGGCGGCCCCCUGGGCCGAACCUGACGCUGAGGCGCGAAGGCUAGGGGAGCGAACGGG